rnacentral:rRNA from 1 species
UGGGGAAUUUUGGACAAUGGGCGCAAGCCUGAUCCAGCAAUGCCGCGUGCAGGAUGAAGGCCUUCGGGUUGUAAACUGCUUUUGUACGGAGCGAAAAGGUCUGCCCUAAUACGGUGGGCUCAUGACGGUACCGUAAGAAUAAGCACCGGCUAACUACGUGCCAGCAGCCGCGGUAAUACGUAGGGUGCGAGCGUUAAUCGGAAUUACUGGGCGUAAAGCGUGCGCAGGCGGUUAUAUAAGACAGAUGUGAAAUCCCCGGGCUCAACCUGGGACCUGCAUUAGUGACUGUAUAGCUAGAGUACGGUAGAGGGGAAUGGAAUUCCGCGUGUAGCAGUGAAAUGCGUAGAUAUGCGGAGGAACACCGAUGGCGAAGGCAAUCCCCUGGGCCUGUACUGACGCUCAUGCACGAAAGCGUGGGGAGCAAACA